UUUGUUUUUUGUUUUUCUUUGUUUUAACAAAUCACAUCGGCUCAAAAGCGACCACGAAUAAAUAAAAGGCAAAAAUAGCCUUUUGUCAAGUGGUGUAUGAAACACGGCUCGCGCGGAAGUCGCUUUCGAGCAGAUUCCUGUUUCCAUGAUAUUCCCGACCACGUGUGGAGAAUGUUAAUUGGCUGCACGAAGUAAACGACGUGACAGUGGGAAGAGCUAGGAAACAGCUAGGCGUCGGUCACAGUCCCCGCUUUAUAUUUUGAGUCAGUCAAAUUAAAGCUAACUUCUUAUGCUAACUAGCGGUUCUGACACUGAGCAAUUUAAACUUGUGCUUUAAAGUGAACAUUAAAAACCUCUGCUGACAACCACCUCCCUGGUGCUGAGUCAGGAUUAUUCUCCUUGUGGAGUAGGGGGUCACCAUACUAGUUACAACUGGUUUUAGAAGCUUACCUUGACUGUAGGCCAAGCGCUCCAUACUUUCACUAUGUGUGAUGCCCCACCGGUGGAGGCUCUGAGGGGAAUACAUCACUGCUGCUCCACGACCCCUUCCAGACUGAAGACGAACUUCUUGUCUCUCGAAAACGCGGGGAAUUCUCAGGAGGAUAUUAUUUAAACAAAUCUGAUCAUGUACCUAACAUUACAUGUAUUCAGGCUUUCUUUAAAUAUAAAAAACGUUAUUUUAUUUAGUGACAUCCAUGGAAUUUUGUAUUAAAACCCCUCUCCUUCUAUGCCUAUCUUUAACCAGAAGAUGGCAGUGUCUUCCAUAAAGAGAAACAAAUCUUAAACCGUGUUCAUUUGGUCUUUUAUCAAUUUUGAUCUUGCAAAAACACUUCAUUAGUAGUGGUGAAGUGGUCUUUCCACAAUUAAAGUAGUGUUUUUCUAAGAUUCGCUUUUUCUUUUUUUAAUUUGAAAAAGGAAAGGUCACAGACAGGCAACAUUACCAUCAUUAAAUAAUCUCCAUUACAAUUUUACUUCUUCAAUUACUUCGUCUACAUUUUUCCGCCUCUAAUUUAAAAUGAACAUCCACUUCAGGCUCGAUUGAAGAUCUUGCACAUGCAAUCCUCCUUGCAAAGCGUGAAGCUAGUAUGUUGAGAUGAGAGGGCACCUUUUAAUUCAUUGUCUUCAAGUGCUUUGCAUUAAAUUCAUACAAUUAGUAAAACCUUGGAGGUUUUGAAUAGUUGCAUGGCUUUCAUGCCAACAAAACAAAUCUAAACUUAUAUGUAAAUAAUGAAAAAUAAUAAAAUAUUACCUGAAUGAAA